GACGAACGCUGGCGGCGUGCUUAACACAUGCAAGUCGAACGGAAAGGCCCUGCUUUUGUGGGGUGCUCGAGUGGCGAACGGGUGAGUAACACGUGAGUAACCUGCCCUUGACUUUGGGAUAACUUCAGGAAACUGGGGCUAAUACCGGAUAGGAGCUCCUGCUGCAUGGUGGGGGUUGGAAAGUUUCGGCGGUUGGGGAUGGACUCGCGGCUUAUCAGCUUGUUGGUGGGGUAGUGGCUUACCAAGGCUUUGACGGGUAGCCGGCCUGAGAGGGUGACCGGCCACAUUGGGACGGAGAUACGGCCCAGACUCCUACGGGAGGCAGCAGUGGGGAAUAUUGCACAAGGGCGGAAGCCUGAUGCAGCAACGCCGCGUGCGGGAUGACGGCCUUCGGGUUGUAAACCGCUUUCGCCUGUGACGAAGCGUGAGUGACGGUAAUGGGUAAAGAAGCACCGGCUAACUACGUG
rnacentral:rRNA from 1 species